rnacentral:rRNA from 1 species
GGACGGGUGAGUAAAGCAUCGGAACGUAUCCUGGAGUGGGGGAUAACGUAGCGAAAGUUACGCUAAUACCGCAUAUUCUGUGAGCAGGAAAGCAGGGGAUCGCAAGACCUUGCGCUCUGGGAGCGGCCGAUGUCGGAUUAGCUAGUUGGUGGGGUAAAGGCCUACCAAGGCGACGAUCCGUAGCGGGUCUGAGAGGAUGAUCCGCCACACUGGGACUGAGACACGGCCCAGACUCCUACGGGGGGCAGCAGUGGGGAAUUUUGGACAAUGGGCGCAAGCCUGAUCCAGCCAUGCCGCGUGAGUGAAGAAGGCCUUCGGGUUGUAAAGCUCUUUCGGCGGGGAAGAAAUUGCACGGGUUAAUACCCUGUGUAGAUGACGGUACCCGAAUAAGAAGCACCGGCUAACUACGUGCCAGCAGCCGCGGUAAUACGUAGGGUGCGAGCGUUAAUCGGAAUUACUGGGCGUAAAGCGUGCGCAGGCGGUUUGGUAAGUCAGAUGUGAAAUCCCCGGGCUCAACCUGGGAACUGCAUUUGAGACUGCCAGGCUGGAGUUUGGCAGAGGGGGGUGGAAUUCCACGUGUAGCAGUGAAAUGCGUAGAGAUGUGGAGGAACACCGAUGGCGAAGGCAGCCCCCUGGGCCAAUACUGACGCUCAUGCACGAAAGCGUAGGGAGCAAACAGGAUUAGAUACCCUGGUAGUCCACGCCCUAAACGAUGUCAACUAGGUGUUGGGAGGGUUAAACCUUUUAGUGCCGUAGCUAACGCGUGAAGUUGACCGCCUGGGGAGUACGGCCGCAAGGCUAAAACUCAAAGGAAUUGACGGGGACCCGCACAAGCGGUGGAUGGUGUGGAUUAAUUCGAUGCAACGCGAAAAACCUUACCUACCC